rnacentral:rRNA from 1 species
GAUCUCGAAAGCCUGUCCCAGUUCGGACUGGAGUCUGNAACCCGACUCCNCGAAGUUGGAUUCGCUAGUAAUCGCGCAUCAGCCAUGGCGCGGUGAAUACGUUCCCGGGCCUUGUACACACCGCCCGUCAAGCCAUGGGAGCCGGGGGCGCCUGAAGUCCGGGACCGCGAGGAGCGACCUAGGGCAAAACUGGUGACUGGGGCUAAGUCGUAACAAGGUAAC